AAAUACGCUGUAGCGUUUACGACGUGUCGGUCAUCUGUCGCUCAGUCUUAUUAAAAAUCUAUUUUCAAGCUAUUAUUUUUAUAGAACUCGAUAAUUACUCUUAAUGUAAAAAAUACUUGUAGAUGUAUGAUAAACGAAUAAUUUACAGAUAUUAUCCCUUCAUCAACUUCACCGCGCGACGUCUUAGACCGAAUGUACAACUCGUCAUUUUUCUAAUUCUUCAUAUACCUACCGAUUAUCAAGCGCAAGCGGAUGACACACGGAAAAGAGGAAAGAAAAAUUUGAAAUACUGGAAUAGAGAUACACAACACAGCAGUGACGCAGCUACGUAAGCGACGAACUUCUUCAAUAUUAUAUGCGUCGUUGUUGCCUCAUUCGUAUAUCUACGUUUUUCUAUGGUGUGCGUGCUCCCGUACACGAGAAAGAGAGCGAGAGAAUAAGGCAUUUCCGAAGUACGUUUUCCAUCCAGAUCAAACCGAAUAGGUAUUCCAUUGACUGCAGUGUCCGAGCGCAGUUGAAACGACGAUCAAUCAGAGGGGCUGAUAACUGCAUCCGACUACUUCAGAGAUACGAAGUGACGCUGAUAAUUAUAACUGAUCUAGGAUAGCAGCGUAAAUGCGUUAUUCGAGCUAUACACAAUAAUACCAAUCACGCGAGAGAAAUAUCCCAAAAGACAAGCGCGUCAUCAUUCCAUCCUCUGAAAUAAGCGUACUUCGAUCAUCAGGUCUCCGCAACAGGCCGCCGCAAACGCAUAGAGACUGCAAAUUCAGCCGCAUCUCUCUCCGAUCUGCGAUGCGGGGAUAGUUCGCAGCAAGCUGGGCCAGUGCAGCACAACUCGCAUGCAUCAUCCAGGGAAAUAACCGGGAUACCCAAGAGGCAGCCUAUGGGCCGCCGCAACGUCGAACAACGCCGACGACACACACACACACACGCGUAGGGGAGGGAGACUUGCGUGUGUCACAAAUACGCCAGGCGCUCGCGAGCCUCGUAUAUCUUUGUAAUAAACUCGCGGGGGUUGCCUCGGGGCCCCGUGCUCCGACAUUAAUUACGGAACAAUUGUCCCGAGAGCGAAAAUCCCCGGCAUCCUCGGGGCGAGCCGUACCGCGACGGGCUCAUUAUGCGGUCGAAGAUAACGACUACGUGCACUCGCGGAUGUUCUCUCUCUCUCUCUCUCUCUCUCUCUCUCUCUCUCUCUCUCUCUCUCUCUCUCUCUCUCUCUCUCUCUCUCUCUCUCUCUCUCUGUAUAGCUGCGCUACGGGGAUUCCCCGAGCGUUUCUCUCACUCUCCGUGCGCGCGCGAGAGAGAUGUAUAUUGUGCUUUGAGUUAAUCUUGCUGCUGCUGUUGCUGCGGUGCUCUCACUCUCACUGAUGCAGCGGUGAAAUUUCCAAUCGGGAAUCGCGAGUGAAUUACGAGAAAUCGGUAUGAACUUGCACGUGGAACUGCUGUCGUCUUGACUUUUUUGCGAUGUUUUAGUAAGGCUGUAUGGGAAACUCGAGUUUUUUACAGGGAAGAGUUAUUGAUGAUCGUAUAUUAUUCCGCUGCAGUGAGCAGCUUCAUUUUCACCCGUAGUCGUGUUGUUUUCGAUCUUUUGAGAGGAUGGUAUUCUCACAGUCGAAAUAAUGGGUCUAAGAGCUAAAAAUGAAUGUUUUAUUUUAAACAAUAGAAAACUAUGCGCAAUUUACGAUAUCGAGAAAAGAAAAGUCCGAAAGCACAAGAGAAAAUCUUCUCUUAUCAAGCGAAGUCUCAGUACCAAAAAUCGGCAAAUCGAAAAAACACACCUAAUACAGAGACGCAUGGGCAUAACCCGCGAUUUUCUCUUUGUCUCGCUUUCACCCGACUGCGCCCAAAGUGAGUCUAACAGAGAGACGCCUCGCAUUCGAGUGUUUUGGCCGGCUUCCAGCGCGGGCGGAAAAAAGCGCGGUAGCUCGUCAAACUCGCCGCGACGUCGCUCUGAUUAUCAUCUCGGACGACACAACUCUCGUCCUCCCAUUGUUUCGUCCGCUUUCUUAUAUCUCGCGUAAGAUCGUCGUCACGCGGCAGCUUUUUACGCGGCUCAGCAGCUACUCAUGGCUCGAAGGGCGACUUAAUUUUUCUUUCAGCAAGUGCUAGAGCGUAACCGCGCUUUCUUUUGACCCUGAUGCUCUCCCCGGGAAAGAUUUUUCAGAUACUUUACUCGAUUUAUCUGAACCCACGUAAGGCGAAUCAAUGUGCGCUGCCCGUGAAUUUAUCGACCGUUUACUCAACUUUCGGACGAAUUUCCCCGUGUACACAGAAGGGCGUAUAACUCGACGUCCGUCCAGUUUUCUACUUGAAAUUCAAUCUCGGAAACGCUGCGCAGCGCACCUUAUACCGAAAGUCAAUUUCAUUUGCAUGUACACGUAUUCGGGGCGAAUUUAUAUUACUAGUAACUUUGGCAAAAUUAUUAAUUAACUCCCGCACACACGAGGCGAAGUUUCGUUCGUAUGUAGAGGUAUAGUCGUAUACGCGUACCUAUAACGUUCUCCAUUUUUAUUUCACCUAUAACACGAUAAACAACCAAUUCCCCACGCAGCGUCGGAAUCAAACAAUGAAAGCUUCCGCGCGACAAAACGACCGCCGCGAAUAAAAGAACGUUCCCGCGGAAACGGCGCAAAAAAGAGGCGGUAAUUACGCGGAAUCGGCAGUAAACGCGAAAGUGGCGGCAUUUGCCUACUGCGUCGAUGGGAAAUCCGAAAUUGGCGAAGAGGUGAACGCGCGCUUAUUGUGUAAAAAGCGCAGCGCGAUGCGUUCGUUUUUAACGAUCCUCAUCGGUGGCGCAUAAAUUGAACGAUGUUGAUAUGCCGUAUGAGACUCGACAGUUGUCCCUGAUGUCUGGAAGUAGAUAAUUGCGACACGUAUUCGCUGGUCCGACAGAAACUUGUUGAUAAAGUUCCGGGAAUGAACGUAGGCAUUUUUAACAAUAUUUACAUAAUGACGGUUACACUAUCGAAUUUCCAUCAUUGCGAUUCUCAGUAUUUUCCGCGCCUCUUACUUUCAGAACACGGCUUUUUCAAAACCAGCGUAAAAACGCGCUUUUUGCACUCGCAGAAGAAAGCACGUUAUGGGCUUUUCAGACGUCGUAUACCGCACAUCCACUUCGUCUUGUGUUUUUGCGGGUUUUACGGCUACUGACACACCGAGGAAAAUGAAUAUACGUUUCAAAAUAACAGAAUUAUGCCCACGCGCUUCGAGCACUGUCUCCGCAUGAAUAUAUGGAUGGUAAAAAAUCGUUUGAGAGUUCGUAAAAGUAAAUUACUAGCCGGCUGGAGUAUUCGGAAGAAUAAUCGGGCUUUACUCGGUCUCCAAUCGAUAUUUUUCAAAAGCCCAGGGAGCUUACGCUCUCUUUUCCCGUAUCCUACACGCAACGCUGGACACGACCGCAACUGGAGAGUACCAUCAUUUUCGGCCGUAAAUCCGUCUUACUUUGCAGCCCAGGCUGCCGCGCCGCCGGAUAUUUUAUAGCUAAUAAACGCUAUAUAGAUAUAUAUCUAAGCGACUGCCUCCUUAUGUCACGCUCUUCGUCUGCCUCGUGAAAAGGGCCGCCCUAAAAUCGCCGAGUUAUGGCUAUUAAUUGCGUUUCCUUGUACUCGCGAAAUUUUCGGUGCGCCGCGCCCGGAAUUCCUGAAAGGCGAGCAGCGAGUAACGACGAUUUUUAUAGUGUAGUUUGGCGCCCGAAGGCGGAAAAAAAUGUUCCGAGGCAGGAGUGUGUGUGUACGUCGUAGAAAUGCGUAGUAAAAUGCCGAGGUGAGAAGAUUAGAUUCGGUACAGGCUGGUCGUUAUUUAUACAAGAUAAAAAAGCAGAAAACGUGUUUUAUGAUUGCAAUGAGUUACUUAAUUUAUUUGGUCGAAAAAUAGAUAAUUUAGAAGUUAAAUUAAAAUUCAGAUCAGCAGUUCCUUGUUCCAGUCAAUGUAGAUGUUAUUUAGAUGAGUCCAUCAGGGCAGACGCAACGGCCACCCAAGCAGGUGCACGUGCCGCAUUCGCUGCUGCUAGAGCAUCCCCAUGCCGCUGUAACAUUGUACCGAUAAAAAUAAACCAUAUGAUUUUUUUUAUUCAA